AUCUCAUUCUCCACGGCUAUGAACUCGACUAAUGAGAUGUCAAUCAUUUGACCCUGUGGUUCUUCAGGACAAGAUCUUGAUGCCAUCCACUGAACAUGACAUCGUACAUGACGAAGGUUUUCUGGAAUCCACAGCGGAAGGGAUCAAGGCAUGAGAUGUUGGCUUGGACAGAUGUACCUGUACACCACACCGACCUCUGCUUUUGGAUGGAUGGCUGAUUACUAUCAUGUUCUGUAUAAGUUUUAUAAUAGCAAAACUGAGCACCUUCGACAGUGGUAGAUGUAAAGUAGUCAGACAUCAGUACAUUUAAAGUCACAGAGAGAAAGUUUUUUAUAUAAGUAUAAAACAAUUUUUUGGCACCAUUAUACACCAAGAAAUGUGCAUAAUUGGCCAAAUUGAUAAUGUUUAUCAACAAAAAUAUGACCCUAUGAGUUUGCUAAUUUGUAGAAUAGGACACACACACACACACACACACACACUCUCUCU